AUUGAACGCUGGCGGCAUGCCUUACACAUGCAAGUCGAACGGCAGCACGGGAGCAAUCCUGGUGGCGAGUGGCGAACGGGUGAGUAAUAUAUCGGAACGUGCCCGGUCGUGGGGAUAACGUAGCGAAAGCUACGCUAAUACCGCAUACGAUCUACGGAUGAAAGCGGGGGAUCGCAAGACCUCGCGCGAUUGGAGCGGCCGAUAUCAGAUUAGGUAGUUGGUGAGGUAAAGGCUCACCAAGCCGACGAUCUGUAGCUGGUCUGAGAGGACGACCAGCCACACUGGGACUGAGACACGGCCCAGACUCCUACGGGAGGCAGCAGUGGGAAUUUGGACAAUGGGCGCAAGCCUGAUCCAGCAAUGCCGCGUGCAGGAUGAAGGCCUUCGG
rnacentral:rRNA from 1 species